UGAUUCCGCCCGGGUUCGAACCGGAGACCUUUCACGUGAAAGGCGAACGUGAUAACCACUACACUACAAAAAC